AGUGAACGCUGGCGGUAGGCCUAACACAUGCAAGUCGAACGGCAGCACAGUAAGAGCUUGCUCUUACGGGUGGCGAGUGGCGGACGGGUGAGGAAUACAUCGGAAUCUACUUUUUCGUGGGGGAUAACGUAGGGAAACUUACGCUAAUACCGCAUACGACCUACGGGUGAAAGCAGGGGAUCUUCGGACCUUGCGCGAUUGAAUGAGCCGAUGUCGGAUUAGCUAGUUGGCGGGGUAAAGGCCCACCAAGGCGACGAUCCGUAGCUGGUCUGAGAGGAUGAUCGGCCACACUGGAACUGAGACACGGUCCAGACUCCUACGGGAGGCAGCAGUGGGGAAUAUUGGACAAUGGGCGCAAGCCUGAUCCAGCAAUACCGCGUGGGUGAAGAAGGCCUUCGGGUUGUAAAGCCCUUUUGUUGGGAAAGAAAAGAAGCAGGUUAAUACCCCGCUGUUCUGACGGUACCCAAAGAAUAAGCCCCGGCUAACUUCGUG
rnacentral:rRNA from 1 species